rnacentral:lncRNA from 10 species
AUAAAUCAUGCUGCUAUAAAGACACAUGCACACGUAUGUUUAUCGCGGCAUUAUUCACAAUAGCAAAGACUUGGAAGCAACCCAAAUGUCCAACAAUGACAGACUGGAUUAAGAAAAUGUGGCACAUAUACACCAUGGAAUACUAUGCAGCCAUAAAAAAUGAUGAGUUCAUGUCCUUUGUAGGGACAUGGAUGAAAUUGGAAAUCAUCAUUCUCAGUAAACUAUCGCAAGGACAAAAAACCAAACACCGCAUAUUCUCACUCAUAGGUGGGAAUUGAACAAUGAGAUCACAUAGACACAGGAAGGGGAAUAUCACACUCUGGGGACUGUGGUGGGGUGGGGGGCGGGGGGAGGGAUAGCAUUGGGAGAUAUACCUAGUGCUAGAUGAUGAGUUAGUGGGUGCAGCGCACCAGCAUGGCACAUGUAUACAUAUGUAACUAACCUGCACAAUGUGCACAUGUACCCUAAAACUUAAAGUAUAAUAAAAAAUAAAAUAAAAUAAAAUAAAAAAAGAAAUGAAACAUAAGAGAAUAUAACAGAAUUGAAUGUAAGGUAAUUAAAUAUAUUAAGCAUAUUGAAUAUGAAAUAAAUAUAUUGAAAUAUAUAUGCUUUCAAUACCAAAGAGUUGAAUUGCUGGGUCAUAUGCUAAAUCUAUGUUUAACUUUUGAGAAACUGCCAAAUUUUUCCGCAGCAGCUGUCCCAUUUUACUUCACCACCAGCAAUGUUGAGGGUACCAGUUUCUCCACAUCUUCACCAACAUUUGUUGUUUCUCAUUUUUUCCAUUAAAGUCAUUCUAGUGGGUGUGAAGUGGCAUCUCAGUGUAGAUUUUAUUUGCAUUUCCUUGAUGACUAAUGAUUUUGAGCAUCUCCUGAUGUCGUUAAUGACCGACCAUCUGUAGAUCUUUCUUGGGGAGCUUUGUUUAUUUUUACAUUGGGUUAUCUGUUUUUUCUUCUUGAGUUGUAAAUGUUCUUUAUAUAUUCUGGAUACUAGACCCUAUAACAUAUAAUUCGCAAAUAUAACUUUGCUCUAAUCUGUGGGUAGUUUUUUAUUUUCCUGAUAGUAACUUUUUGAUGUACAAACAUUUUUAAUUUUAAUAAAGUCAAAUUUAUCUAUUUUUCCAUGGUCACUUGUGCUUUUAAAGCUACAGCUAAGAAAUUACUGAUUAAUUCAAGAUCAUGAAAACUUAGACAUGUAUUUGAUUAUUAAAGUAGUUGUACUAGUCAGGGUCUUCCAGAAAAAUAAAACCAAUAGGAUGGAUAGAGAAGGAAAGAAGGAAGGAAGGAAGGAAGGAAGGAAGGAAAGAAGGAAAGAAGGAAGAAAGGAAGGAAGGAAAGAAAAGAAAGAAAGGAAGAAAGAAAGAAAAGAAAGAAAGGAAGAAAGAAAGAAAAGAAAGAAGGAAGGAAGGAAGGAAUUUAUUUGUUUUAAGGACUAGCUUAAGCAAAAGUGGUGCUGACAAGUUUAGAAUCUAUAGAGCAGAUAGGAUGAAAAUUGAGGUAAGAGCUAAUGCAAUUUGAGUCCAAAUCCAUAAGACAAGCCAGCAGAUUGGAAACUCAGGCAGGAUUUCUACAUUACAGACUUGAGGUAUCUCUACAAGCCUGCAAGAGCCACAGUGUUACUGGGCUUGGGUUCUCCCCUAAUGCAGAUAUAGCUGCAUCAGCCGAUGCCCGUGGAGGAAGCACUUAGACCAGUGCUAGCCAGAGGGGAAUUGUUGAUCCCAGUGGUUGGAACUGAGUUCUGGCAAGCCUCGCCACUGUGAGCUAAA